UAUGAACGCUGGCGGCGUGCCUAACACAUGCAAGUCGAACGAAGCAAUUAAAAUGAAGUUUUCGGAUGGAUUUUUGAUUGACUGAGUGGCGGACGGGUGAGUAACGCGUGGAUAACCUGCCUCACACUGGGGGAUAACAGUUAGAAAUGACUGCUAAUACCGCAUAAGACCACAGCACCGCAUGGUGCAGGGGUAAAAACUCCGGUGGUAUGAGAUGGACCCGCGUCUGAUUAGCUGGUUGGUGGGGUAACGGCCUACCAAGGCGACGAUCAGUAGCCGACCUGAGAGGGUGACCGGCCACAUUGGGACUGAGACACGGCCCAA
rnacentral:rRNA from 1 species